GACGAACGCUGGCGGCGUGCUUAAUACAUGCAAGUCGAACGGAAAGGCCCUGCUCUUGUUGCGUGCUCGUUUGGCGAACGGGGGUGUAUCACGCGUGUAACAUGUCCUUGUAUUUCGGGUAUCUUCACGAAACUGCGGAUAAUAUAGCAUAGAAUCUCCUGCUGCACGUUGGGGGUUGGUAAGUUUCGGCUGUUGUGGAUGGAAUCGCGGCUUAUCCGCUGGUUGGGGAGGUAGUGGCUGUCCAAGGCUUUGACGGGUAGCCUGCCUGGGAGGGUGAACGGGGACAUUGGGACUGCGAGACGGACCAGACUGCUACGGGAGGCAGCAGUGGGGAGUAUGACACAGUGGGCGGAAGCCUGAGGCAGCAGCGUCGCGUGCGUAAUAACGUCCUUCGAGUGAUAAACCGCUUUCGCCUGUGACGAACCGUGAGUGACGGUAAUGAGUAAGGAAGCAACGGCUAACUACGUG
rnacentral:rRNA from 1 species